rnacentral:rRNA from 1 species
AGUGAACGCUGGCGGUAGGCCUAACACAUGCAAGUCGAACGGCAGCACAGUAAGAGCUUGCUCUUACGGGUGGCGAGUGGCGGACGGGUGAGGAAUACAUCGGAAUCUACUUUUUCGUGGGGGAUAACGUAGGGAAACUUACGCUAAUACCGCAUACGACCUACGGGUGAAAGCAUGGGAUCUUCGGACCUUGCGCGAUUGAAUGAGCCGAUGUCGGAUUAGCUAGUUGGCGGGGUAAAGGCCCACCAAGCCGACGAUCCGUAGCUGGUCUGAGAGGAUGAUCAGCCACACUGGAACUGAGACACGGUCCAGACUCCUACGGGAGGCAGCAGUGGGGAAUAUUGGACAAUGGGCGCAAGCCUGAUCCAGCCAUGCCGCGUGGGUGAAGAAGGUCUUCGGGUUGUAAAGCCCUUUUGUUGGGAAAGAAAAGCAGCAGGUUAAUACCCCGCUGUUCUGACGGUACCAAAAGAAUAAGCACCGGCUAACUUCGUG